rnacentral:rRNA from 1 species
GAUGAACGCUAGCGGCAGGCUUAAUACAUGCAAGUCGAACGGUAACAGGUCUUCGGACGCUGACGAGUGGCGCACGGGUGAGGAACACGUACACAAUCUACCUUAUACUGGAGAAUAGCCCCGGGAAACUGGGAUUAAUACUCCAUAGUCUUUAAUGAUCACAUGAGAAAUAAAGUAAAGCUUCGGCGGUAUAAGAUGAGUGUGCGUCCCAUUAGAUUGUUGGUGAGGUAACGGCUCACCAAGUCGACGAUGGGUAGCUGGCGUGAGAGCGCGACCAGCCACACUGGCACUGAGACACGGGCCAGACUCCUACGGGAGGCAGCAGUAGGGAAUAUUGGUCAAUGGACGAAAGUCUGAACCAGCCAUGCCGCGUGGAGGAUGACUGCCCUCUGGGUUGUAAACUGCUUUUGUACGGGAAGAAACACCCCCUCGUGAGGGGGCUUGACGGUACCGUAAGAAUAAGGAUCGGCUAACUCCGUGCCAGCAGCCGCGGUAAAG